rnacentral:rRNA from 2 species
GUGCCUUCGGGAACUGUGAGACAGGUGCUGCAUGGCUGUCGUCAGCUCGUGUUGUGAAAUGUUGGGUUAAGUCCCGCAACGAGCGCAACCCUUAUCCUUUGUUGCCAGCGAUUAGGUCGGGAACUCAAAGGAGACUGCCAGUGAUAAACUGGAGGAAGGUGGGGAUGACGUCAAGUCAUCAUGGCCCUUACGACCAGGGCUACACACGUGCUACAAUGGCGCAUACAAAGAGAAGCGACCUCGCGAGAGCAAGCGGACCUCAUAAAGUGCGUCGUAGUCCGGAUUGGAGUCUGCAACUCGACUCCAUGAAGUCGGAAUCGCUAGUAAUCGUGGAUCAGAAUGCCACGGUGAAUACGUUCCCGGGCCUUGUACACACCGCCCGUCACACCAUGGGAGUGGGUUGCAAAAGAAGUAGGUAGCUUAACCUUCGGGAGGGCGCUUACCACUUUGUGAUUCAUGACUGGGGUGAAGUCGUAACAAGGUAACCGUAGGGGAACCUGCGGUUGGA